rnacentral:rRNA from 1 species
AUUGAACGCUGGCGGCAGGCCUAACACAUGCAAGUCGAACGAGUGGGGACGGGUGAGUAACACGUGGGUAACCUCCCCAUCAGAGGGGAUAACACUUGGAAACAGGUGCUAAACCGAUACCGAUGGAUGGUCCCGCGGUGCAUUAGCUAGUUGGUGGGGUAACGGCUCACCACGGCCACGAUGCAUAGCCGAACUGAGAGGGUGAUCGGCCACAUUGGGACUGAGACACGGCCCAGACUCCUACGGGAGGCAGCAGUGGGGAAUAUUCGGCAAUGGACGAAAGUCUGACCGAGCAACGCCGCGUGAGUGAAGAAGGUUUUCGGGUUGUAAAGCACUGUUGUUAGAGAAGCGGUAUCUAACCAAAAAGCAACGGCUAACUACGUGCCAGCAGCCGCGGUAAUAC